GGAGAGUUGUCCGAGUGGCUUAAGGAGCUGGUCUCGAAAACCAGUGUGCGUGAAAAUGCAUCUAGGGUUCAAAUCCCUAACUCUCCGCCA
rnacentral:tRNA from 1 species